AGCACUGACUUUUGAGAGAAUAAACCAGUGAUCCCCUGAGCUCACUGCUCUGCCCACAAGGGGGCGGAUCUGUCUAAGGCAUGCAAGGUCCCCUUCUCCUUGUAAAUUCACACCCACCCUUCAUUGUAAACCUAGCCUUGCUUACAGGAAGAGGUCCUGAUGCAAGGACUCCAGAGCCUGAAGAUGAACUAUUACCCAGGAACUAUGAUGGUGCUAGACAUAAUAUGUGGAGGAAGCAAUGGAGACUUGGUGACCCAGACGGAAGGCCAGGUGACGCUCUAUGAAAGAACUUCCCUGACUGUGAACUGCUCCUAUAAAACCACAUGGUACCCUACCUUAUUCUGGUAUGUCCAGUAUGCCAGAGAAGGUCCACAGCUUCUCCUGAAAGCCACAAAGGACAAGGAAAAGGGAAGCAACAAGGGCUUUGAAGCCACUUAUGAUAAGGACACCAGCUCCUUCAACCUGCAAAAAGCCUCCAUGGAAGAGCCAGACUCAGCUGUGUACUUCUGUGUUCUGGGUGACACAGUGGCAGGAACUGCAGGGGAGCUGAGCACAAACUCUGGGCUGUGUCAAGGGGGCUGGCUGUUGGACGUCUGCCUUGGGUUUCAUUAGAGUCCAGGAACUCAUCUAGCAGGUUUGCUGCCUGCCUACCAC